rnacentral:rRNA from 2 species
UGUGCCUAAUACAUGCAAGUCGAACGCGUUGGCCCAAUUGAUUGAUGGUGCUUGCACCUGAUUGAUUUUGGUCGCCAACGAGUGGCGGACGGGUGAGUAACACGUAGGUAACCUGCCCAGAAGCGGGGGACAACAUUUGGAAACAGAUGCUAAUACCGCAUAACAACGUUGUUCGCAUGAACAACGCUUAAAAGAUGGCUUCUCGCUAUCACUUCUGGAUGGACCUGCGGUGCAUUAGCUUGUUGGUGGGGUAAUGGCCUACCAAGGCGAUGAUGCAUAGCCGAGUUGAGAGACUGAUCGGCCACAAUGGGACUGAGACACGGCCCAUACUCCUACGGGAGGCAGCAGUAGGGAAUCUUCCACAAUGGGCGCAAGCCUGAUGGAGCAACACCGCGUGAGUGAAGAAGGGUUUCGGCUCGUAAAGCUCUGUUGUUAAAGAAGAACACGUAUGAGAGUAACUGUUCAUACGU